AGCAAAGUGGCAUAGAUCCUAGUGUCUGUCCUCUCAUUGUUGUGACAACAAAUUGCUCUGUGCAUCAUUUAGUCACAUGAUCAUUUAGUUCAUUUAGUCACAUGAUCUUGCUUCUCUAGUGUUGUCAUUCAGAACAGCCAUGCUUUAUUUUUCAUUUAUCUUUCAUUCUGAACUUAUACUGGAGGUUAUAUAGUGAGGAAAUGUUUCCUUUCCUCUCUCUGUUUUGUGCUACAGUAAAAGAGAAGGGUAUGGUCCUUAGUCAGGGUAGAUGUUCAACGUUGUCCUGUUUUAAUUUUCAUAAAACUUUUUAAUUUGGUUCAAAUUAAAUGAAUCAUUUACCCUGACUAAAGACCUUUUCAAUAGGUUAUUUAAACUUAACAAACACAAUUAUGGUUAAUAGGUCAGUUUUGUAGCUUUUUGUUGUCAGGGUUUUAUUGUGUUUGUAUUUGAAUGGUUUGUAUUUGAAUAGACCUUUAUUUGUCAGCGUACUAAUGUACUAAUGCCUAAAAAUGCUUGUUUUUUACUGGCACAUGACAUAAUGAAUUUUUACAGGAUAAUUUGGCAUGGAUGCUGCAAACAAUUCAGAAUCUUGCAUGUUGAGUUUGAAGUGAACAAGCUUUUCAUGUAAUAGCACGUGACUUUUAAUUUGCAUUUGUCUUCUGUUAAGAAAAAAAAAAUCAAUCCCAACCAUAAUAACCAUGGCCACUUAUACAGAUUAUUUAAUCAAGAAAAAAAAAAGUACAUCUUCAGAACUGACUCUGAUGUUUUACACUGUGAAUCUAUUCUAUCAAAUAUUUUUAGCGUCAUACAUGGACAUUUUUUUUUUUUUUACCUUUCAUGUGGACGUCUUUUUCUAUGCAUGAAAUCACUGACUGUUGUGUUCGUAUUUGUUUUCCUGAUAAACUUUCCCAAAGACUCUCCUAAUGAUUUACUUUAAUGAAGCUGGUUAUUGUGAUUGUAAUGACUGCAGGUCGAUGUAGAAUAUGUUUGUUUUGGUUGCACUGAUGCACCUUUCAGCAGUAUUUCUUAAUAAAAACAAAAAACAAAAAUUGUAUUCAUGAAAUCCACUGGAAUGAUUCAGAUAAUAAUACAUGAUUGGGUUGGUGGUCAUGCUGUUUGCUGGAAAGCAGAGAGAAGUGUUCAAUUGCUUUAUGUACACAAUUCAUUCAUUUGUGCCUACAGUGGAUCAAUAAUGCUUUGAUUUGUGUAAAUAUUUUUGUAAUAAAGAUUGUAAAAUACAUGUGAAAUGACCCUGUACAAAAUAAAAGUCACAGCUGCUUUAGAAGCUUUUACCCACAUUUUCCAGUGUCCCAGUUUGUUUUCUGUUGAGUUUGAAUGAAAACACAAAGAACAUAAAAAUGCAUUACAGCUGGCAAGCCUGAAAUACAAUAUUCUGAUUUUGCACUGGUAAAGUCUGAAGAAAAGUACGCAUUUUUUUAUUUUUUAACUAUUAUUAUUUCUAUGAUAAUAGAAAACACUUAUUUUAAAUUGCAGUAACAUAUCAAAACUGUUUUAUACUAAUAUUGUUAUAUUUUCAUUUAAUUUCUAUUUAUUUAUUUUAAGUGCAGCCUUGGUGAGCAUAAGAGACUUUUCCAACAACAUUAAAUGUUUUAGAUACAUAAUUAUUUUUCUAAAUCUGUACACUGCUUUUGACACGGUUAACCACCAGAUGUCAACCCUAUUGGCAGAGGGCAUCUCAGGAGCCAUGCUCCAGAGGUUUGAGUCUUACCUCUCAGACAGGUCCUUCAAGGUAUCUUGGAGGGGCUGAGGUGUCCAAGUCGCAGCAUAGCAACUAGCUACUGGGGUGCCUCAGGGCUCAGUUCUUGGACCACUUCUCUUCACUGUCUACAUGGCAUCACUAGGCAGGCUUCCCAAGGGUCCUUGAAAUCCUUAAAAGUUUGUGAAUCUGAAAAAAAAAAAAAAUUCAAGGCCCUGGAAAGUUUUUGAAAAUAAGCAUACAUAGAUACAGGUCCUUGAAAGUUCAUGAAUUUAUUUUGUACAAGAAGUUUUCUGGAGAAAAAAAAAAUCCAUAAUAUUCCCUCUGGUCCGCUUAUGUGUUAUUUCGCCAACACUUCAUAGCCUAUGCCUAUUACUUGAUUUACGUUAGUUACGUGCAUUAUGUUAAGUGUUUCCCGCGUAAGGUUCUUUGUGUUGUACAUUGCCAUGACUUUCACACGCACACGAAACUACUAGGAUGGUACCUCAAAGUUUCACUGACACACCGUGAAAUCAAUGUUGAAUUGCUUUGCUUGUUAAGAUAAUGUAAACCCAUGAGGCAAGAAAAACUUAAAAGCAUAUUCAUAUAUCUUAAAACUUCUGGUUACAUGAGCCUAAGCUCUUUUCAAUAAAAUCUAUGCAAAAUAGGGUUGCCAACCAUUCCGUAUAACCUAAUACGAAGUUGUCCCGUAUUUAAGGCAUCAGAGAAGCGUUCUGUAUGAAAGCUAUACGGAAUACAGCUUGUCCUGUAUUCGCAGGCAUACACCGUAUGGCCAUCUAGAUGAUACAAAUGACAAAUUAAUAAUUCUUUUUGCACAAAUCAUUGUAUGAAUUGCAAACGUAGCCUCUCAAGGAAGUCUUUAAGACCUUGCACAAUCCUCUGCCGCCUGGUCGCUCCCACUUCACUCGCGCUAACAGCAAUCCCCUUCACCAUCAUAAGCAAGCUAGGCAAGAAAAAAUGCAAUCUACCUGAGUAAAGACAUCUUUCAGUAUUGUAAGUUAAGUUAAUGUUGUUAAAUAGAGAAACAAAAUUGCAAAUUUUUUAGAUUGUAACUUCUAUCAUAUUCCUAAACCUGGAUCUCAUUAAUACUGAAGAACAAAUUCAAGCUCCAAAAGCAGCCCACACACUCCAAGUUCUCUUUAAUUGAAAAGUAUUAAUUUUCAUGAAAUUAUAGGCUAUAUGGUUACAAUAACAUUUUAGUUCAAAAUUUUAAAUGUCAUUGCUUUAUUGAUUGAAGUUUCAUAGACGUUCAUUUGUAAACCUUUCAAAAUUUUAUGCCAUAUAGGUGCGCCUAAUUUCACAGUAUAUUCACCUCCUUAAUUACUACACCACUUGUGCAGUCAUAAUUCUAUAGAGGUAAUAUUUAUUCUAGAUCCCCAAAGUUGCAAAGACUAAAGUCUCAAACCCAAAGAGAUAUUCUUUAUAAAAGUUUAGACUCGUCCACACCCUCCUAAAAUGCCUUGUUUAAACGGCAUCACAUCUCUACGUCACAAUGUGGCAAGAUUUGCAUAACGCCGCCCAGAUGUUCACGCAAAGAAAGAAGGCGUAACUUUUAUUCUCGCCGUAGUAUUGUUGUUGCUGCCGCUGCCGUCAUGUCGUAUAGACGCUGUGUGUUUCGUUGUGAAAGCAAAACUACUUUGUUUGGCCUUCCAAAAGAGGACGAUAUCCGCUUUGUCAUGCCUGGAGCUGAUCCGUUCUGGUCGCUGAGGAAAUGCAUCAACUCCGUGCUAUGGAU
ensembl:lncRNA